GCGGUGCCGGCCUGCGACUCUGCGCCUGCGCCGGCCUGCCCCGCGCCUGGCGUGCGACUCUGCACCAGCGCCAGCGUUGUACCUUUGUGAGGGCGGAGCUGCAUUCUCCUCAGCCCAGACACUGAGAGCAUCGCGAGGGCGGAGCUGUGUUCUCCUCUGCACAGACCUCGGGGGUACCGUGAAGACAGAGCAGCGUUCUACUCUGCCCAGACCCUGGCGUGGGGGGCACCGCGAGGACGGAGCUGCGUUGUGCUCAGCACGGACGUUGGCGGCACCGCCUCGCUUUGGGACAACUCGGGGCCGCAUCCACAGUGAAUAAAAUCCUUCCUGUUUCUAGCCCUGAAUAACGAAGGUUUCUCUGGAACUCCUGACAUCAAGUAAUCCACCUGCCUCUGCCUUCCAAAGUGCUGGGAUUACUGGCAUGAGCCACUGUACCCAGCCUUCACUUUCUUCUCUGUGUCAGAGAUCUCUAGCAAGAUACCUUUUCAGAACUUUUAUUGCAACGGAAGUAUUUCAGAACUUUGUCAGGUUAAACUGUUAAGGGUAUGUCUGUUUUUCUAUGAUACACUCAAUUUAGGAAUGUAUGACUCAGUAAUGAAAGUUGAUCUGGCAUCACCCUUGGCAUUUGAGUUCCUAGGUGGAGAAGGGUGUGUUUUCAGGCAUGAUAAUGGCUUACAGGAAUGCAGCACCCCAAGAGGACCCUAGCAAUUGGGAGAAUUAUGUUUACAUGACACUAAGCCCCAAAUAACCUUAAAUUCUAAAUAAAAGUUCCAAGGGUAAUUUGUA